UACGAAAGGGGCAAGCGUUACUCGGAAUCACUGGGCGUAAAGCGCACGUAGGCGGACUCGCAGGUCAAUUGUGAAAUACCUGGGCUCAACCCGGGAACUGCAGUUGAAACCGCUUGUCUUGAAUACCUGAGAGGGUGGGGGAAUACCUGGUGGAGAAGUGAAAUUCGUAGAGAUCAGGUGGAACACCGGAGGCGAAGGCGCCUGCCUGGCAGUGUAUUGACGCUGAGGUGCGAAAGUGCGGGGAGCACACAGG
rnacentral:rRNA from 1 species